GACAUAUGAUCUAGUACAUGUUUAUCGACAUUUAUAUAUUACGUGCCACGACAACAAAUUUGGUGGUGUAAACCAAAGUCAUUGUCAUACUUGAUAAAACUUAUGACUGUACGGUGCGUUAAAUUUUAUUGCAAUUUUCUAGACUUUGUUUAUGUUUGAGAAAAUAGAGUGUUGAUCCCCAUGCACAUAGCUAAAAUAUACCAUUUCAGUUUAAACCAUGGAAGGGGAGGGUGUAAGGAGAAGGGGUAAGCAGCCUAAAGUGGAGGAAAAAGAAGUGGUAGAAACAAAGAAAGUGCACCGAUCUGUAGGGUGGUUAAAGGCAGCUCUAACCAGCACAUUUCUGACUUUCUGUGCAAUACCACUGAUCUUGAUGCUUAUACCUACACCAAUAAAGCCAGAAUACAUCAGAUUACCACAAAGGCCUGAAUGGACUGAUACAUUAAGACCCAAUAAACAUUUACAGAAAGCGAAGAAGUUGUUUUAUGACAAGAUCCAGGGUCCAGAAUCAUUGGUUGUUGAUGGUGAUUACUUGUAUACUGGUACUGCUGAUGGAAAGAUUAUGGAGAUAUAUAAAGGUGAACUUCGAGUUCUGACACGGCUAGGGCAAGAACCUUGUGGUAGAUUUGAGGAUGAACCUACCUGUGGUCGUCCACUGGGUAUGAGGAUGGACAAAGAUGGUUACCUUAUUGUUGCAGAUGCCUAUCUUGGACUCUUCAAAGUUAAUGUUGCUACAGGUGACAAGACAGUGUUAUGGCCAUCUUCUGAACCAAUCAAUGGCCGGCGGCCAAAUUUUAUGAAUGACCUUGAUAUUGGUCCGGAUGGAACUAUUUAUGUCUCAGACUCCAGUACUAAAUGGGAUAGGCGACACAAUCGUUACUGCUUUUUUGAAGGAGAAUCCUCGGGCAGAUUGUUCUCUUACAACCCUACAACGAACACAACAAAGGAACUGGUCACUGGUAUACCAUUUGCCAAUGGUGUCACACUGACGAGGGAUAAAUCAGCAAUCCUGCUCACCUCCACAACAAAAGCUGCUGUUUACAGAUACAAUUUAGAUGGACCUAAUAAGGGUAAAUUAGAAGAUUUCAACAAUAACCUACCUGGUAUACCAGAUAACAUAAGAAGAAGUGCCAAAGGUGGUUAUUGGGUCGGGCUAGCUGGAGUACGGAAACCAGAAUUCUCCCUGAUAGACCUUAGUGCUGCAAAUCCGUGGAUCAGGGGAAUCGUAACAAAGAUAUUUUCACAAGAGAUGAUUAUGAAGAUGGUUCCUAGUUAUGGACUUGUUGUUGAAUUGAACGAAUAUGGACACAUUGUUCGUACACUCCAUGAUCCAUCCGGGAAAGUUAUACCGUCUGUCAGUGAGGUUGAGGACACAGGGACUGUCCUGUACCUGGGAUCCUAUAAUCUACCAUUCCUCAGUAAACUUUAUGCAGUUGAUAUCUUAGAUGUUGCAUAGCGAUAUGAGGGAUAUUCCAUUGUGAUGCAGAAUAUCCAGUGAUGCUAUAAUUGAUGCUAUAAGUGUACAUUAACCCUUAUCAUGCAGGAUUGAUUCUGCCUUUGUGGCCAGUGUAGAUCUUGCUCAGCCUGCACAUCUGUGCAGUCUGGUCAUGAUCUGCACUGUUAGCCAUUCAGCCAGUAUUUUUUGCUCGACUAUUCGAAGAAUAGUCUAGCUAUUCUACUCACCCUGGCGUCGGCGUCGGCGUCGGCGUCGGCGUCACACCUUGGUUAAGUUUUUGCAUGCAAGUACAUACAGCCAUCAAUUAAAGUCAUAUAGCUUUGAAACUUAUUUUUUCUUUUUCUAGGUCAAUUACCAACCUCUCUGGGUCAAGUCCCAUAACUCUGACAUGUAUUUUGAGCAAAUUAUGCCCCCUUUUGGACUUAGAAAAUUUUGGUUAAAGUUUUACAUGCAAGUUACUAUCUCCAAAACUAAUGCAGAUAUUGAUUUGAAACUUCAAAUGUGUCUUCGGGGUUAUAAAACUAGUUGAUAGCACCAAGUCCCAUAACUCUGACUUUCAUUUUGGUCAAAUUAUGCCCCUUUUGGACUUAGAAAAUUCUGGUUAAAGUUUUGCGUGCAAGUACAUACAGCUAUUUCUAAAAGGCAUAUAGAUUUGAAACUUAUUUUUUCUUUUUCUAGAUCAAUUACCAACCUCACUGGGUCAAGUCCCAUAACUCUGACAUGUAUUUGAGCAAAUUAUGCCCCCUUUUAGACUUAGAAAAUUUUGGUUAAUGUUUUACAUGCAAGUUAUUAUCUCCAGAACUAAUGCAGAUAUUGAUUUGAAACUUCACAUGUGUCUUCGGGGUUAUAAAACUAGUUGAUAGCAGCAAGUCCCAUAACUCUGACCUUCAUUUUGGCCAAAUUAUGCCCCCUUUUGGACUUAGCAAAUUCUGGUUAAAGUUUUGCGUGCAAGUACAUACAGCUAUUACUAAAAGGCAUAUAGAUUUGAAACUUACUUUUUCUUUUUCUAGAUCAAUUACUAUCCUCACUGGAUCAAGUCCCAUAACUCUGACAUGUAUUUUGAGCAAAUUAUUCCCCUUUUUGGACUUAGAAAAUACUGGUUAAAGUUUUGCGUGCAAGUACAUACGGCAAUUACUAAAAGGCAUAUAGAUUUGAAACUUAUUUUUUCUUUUUCUAGAUCAAUUACCAACCUCACUGGGUCAAGUCCCAUAACUCUGGCAUGUAUUUUGGGAAAAUUAUGCCCCUUUUGGACUUUGAAAAUUCUGGUUAAAGUUUUACAUGCGAGUUUCUAUCUCCAAAACUAAUGCAGAUAUUGAAUUGAAACUUCACAUGUGCCUUCGGGGUUAUAAAACUAGUUGAUAGCAGCAAGUCCCAUAACUGAUAUGCAUUUUGGUCAAAUUAUGCCCCCUUUUGAACUUAAAACUCUUUUGAUAUUUAACCUUUUUGGGUAAUAUUUUCCUGCUUCUGUGACAAUAUUUCGAAUAGUCGAGCUUGGCUGUCUUACGGACAGCUCUUGUUUAGCUCGACUGUUAGAAGAAUAGUCUAGUUAUUCUACUAACCAUGGCAUUGGCGUCGGCGUCACACCUUGGUUAAAGUUUUGCAUGCAAGUACAUAUGGCUAUCAUUUAAAGGCAAAUAGCUUUGAAACUUAUUUUUUCUUUUUCUAGAUCAAUUACCAACCUCACUGGAUCAAGUUCCAUACCUCUGACAUGUAUUUUGAGCAAAUUAUGCCCCCUUUUGGACUUAGAAAAUCUUGGUUAAAGUUUUACAUGCAAGUAAUUAUCUCCAAAACUGAUGCAGAUAUUAAAUUGAAACUUCACAUAUGUCUUCGGGGUUAUAAAACUAGUUGAUAGUACCAAGUCCCAUAACUCUGACCUGCAUUUUGGCCAAAUUAUGCCCCUUUUGGACUUAGAAAAUCCUGGUUAAAGUUUUGCGUGCAAGUACAUAUGGCUAUCAUUUAAAAGCAUAUAGCUUUGAAACUUAUUUUUUUCUUUUUCUAGAUCAAUUACCAACCUCACAGGGUCAAGUCCCAUAACUCUGACAUGUAUUUUGGGCAAAUAAUGCCCCCUUUUGGACUUAGAAAAUCCUGGUUAAAAUUUUACAUGCAAGUUACUAUGUCCAAAACUAAUGCAGAUAUUGAAUUGAAACUUGACAUGUGUCUUCUGGUUAUAAAACUAGUUGAUAGUAUAAAGUCCCAUAACUGACCUGCAAUUUGACCAAAUUAUGCCCCCUUUUGGACUUAGAAAAUCCUGGUUAAAGUUUUGCGUGCAAGUACAUAUGGCUAUCAUUUAAAAGCAUAUAGCUUUGAAACUUAUUUUUUUCUUUUUCUAGAUCAAUUACCAACCUCACUGGGUCAAGUCCCAUAACUCUGACCUGUAUUUUGGGCAAAUUAUGUCCCCCUUUGGACUUAGAAAAUUCUGUUUAAGGUGUUGGGUGCAAGUUACCAUCUGCAAAACAAAUGCAGAUAUUAAAUUGAAAAGUCACAUGUGUCUUCGGGGUUAUAGAACUAGUUGAUUGCAUUAAGUCCCAAAACUUUGACAUGCAUUUUGGGCCAAUUAUGCCCCCUUUUGGACUUCUGGUUAAAAAGUUUUGGUUGAAACUCUAUUGAUCUUUUAACAUUAGAUUAAUAUUCCUGCUUCUUUGACAACAAUUUGAAUAGUUGAGCACUGGCUGUCUUACGGACAGCUCUUGUUUUCUUUGGUCUCAAUCAUACACAAGGUAUUUCUCUACAAAAACUAGUUCAAGAUCGGUAACUAGCUCUCUAGGCCCUUGACUGAGACAAAGUUCUUAAAACUGUCAGUGUCCAUUUUAUUUCAAGAGUUUAUUUUCUUAGAAGUGUACAACUUAUAUACAGAGAAUAUUUAUAAAUUCUAGGUAAAGUUUGAUAACCAGUCAGUAAAGGUCAGCAUCUACUGAGUUAUGGCCCUUGACUUAGACAAAAUUGUAAAUGUUGACAGUGUCAAUUCAAUAGCUCAAAUAUUUUCUUGGAACUCAACAAUCUCUAUACAGCUGUUCCACUAUGAAAUCUAGGUCAAGAUCGAUUACUAUCCAGUUUAAGCCAGUCAUGUAUUUAUGCCUCCUUAGAUGGGGUUUAUUGUUUUGCUUAUGUCGGUCCAAAGGUUAUUUGGUUCUGAUCAGUAACUAGAGAAUUCAUGCAUAGGCCUACACUGAUCAAAUUUCAUAGAAUAAUUGCCCUGUUUAUGAGUCCUAUAAUUUGGUGGUCAAAGGUCAAGACCAAAUGGAUCUUGAGACUGAAAACAAGUUUCCAAUCUGUAACUGGGGACCAAUUUGGCUUACAAUGGUUGUUGAACUUCAUAUGAUUGCCUGUGGUCACUAGAUUACCCCCACCCCCAAUUAAUUUCUUGGCAAGUAUAUCAGAGGUCAAGGUCCAGCUGAUCUCUAGACUGAAAGCUGUUUCAUAUCAAUAAAUGUAGAAUGCUAUGGCCUUGGACUGACAAACGUGACAGGAUGAUUGCCUGUGGACAGAGAUUCUAGAGGUCAGCAGGCCGAACAUCCGUACCUCCAGACUAAAGAUUGUUUUUUAUUAAAAGCUCUCAAGUGCUUAGGCCUAUGGUUAUCAAACUACAUAAAGUAAUUACCUAUUGUCAGUAGAUUAUCAGACCUCCUAUUGGUUUUAAGGAUAAAGGCCAAUGCUGUAGUAAACUGGAUAGACAAUUGGUAAAUUAAUUGAGAAUGCUUGAGCCUAGGGACAACAAAUUUUGUUUUAUGAUUGCCCUAUGGACAGAUGAUCCCUGUUGGUUUUAACGUUAAAGAUCAAGGUUGAAGAAACCUCGAGACUGAAAUUUGGAAUAUUAAUGGAGAAUGCUUCAGCCUAAGGACAAGAAAUUUUGUUUUACGAUUGCCUAUGGAGAGUAGAUGAUCCCUAUAGAUGUUAGAGUUAGUUUGUCAAAGUUCACAGUAAAAAGGUCAAGGUUUCAGUGAGGUUCAGGCUGAAAAGGGCUUCUGAUAAAUAAAGGGAGAACACAUUAGUUACCUACUGUCAAAAUGUAUUGGAUAUUUGUAUGUGGAUGACCCCUAUUUUUUGGUCCAUAUUUACAUUUUUGGGUUCCAUACAUACAAGGUCAUGGCCAUAGAAAAUUUUUAUGUUUUCUUUAUAUUCUCACAAUUUAGGGUAGACAAUAUUUUGAGUAUUUGAAACAUACAGCACAAUAAUUUUAGGACAAUUCCUAAAAAAUGGAACUGAUUUACUUAAUCUAGACAACAGACUGAGAUCAGGUAAAACCUUCUGUCACAGGAACCUUAUUUUUAUGUAUUGAUAAUAAUACAACUGACAAGAUUCAAUGCUUCCAAAUUAAAAGUUAUCAGAUUUUUACCUUCUUGUAAACAUCUAUGUCUUAGAGUUAUUGCAUAUACAGUGUUGUUAUUAUUCAUUUUGUUUGUGUCCUAUAAAUAGUUUUGAUGUAUGUGGUUCUAACAGCUGAAUAAAAAUUUAUAAUACUGUUAAUAAAUGUUUAAAGCCAA